CCUACGGGGGGCAGCAGUAGGGAAUCUUCCACAAUGGGCGAAAGCCUGAUGGAGCAACGCAGCGUGGGUGAUGAAGGUCUUCGGAUCGUAAAACUCUGUUGUUAGAGAAGAAAGUGCGUGAGAGUAACUGUUCACGUUUCGACGGUAUCUAACCAGAAAGCCACGGCUAACUACGUGCCAGCAGCCGCGGUAAUACGUAGGUGGCAAGCGUUAUCCGGAUUUAUUGGGCGUAAAGGGAACGCAGGCGGUUUGUUAAGUCUGAUGUGAAAGCCUUCGGCUUAACCGGAGUAGUGCAUUGGAAACUGGGAGACUUGAGUGCAGAAGAGGAGAGUGGAACUCCAUGUGUAGCGGUGAAAUGCGUAGAUAUAUGGAAGAACACCAGUGGCGAAGGCAGCUCACUGGUCUGUAACUGACGCUGAGGUUCGAAAGCGUGGGUAGCAAACAGGAUUAGAUACCCUAGUAGUC
rnacentral:rRNA from 1 species